rnacentral:rRNA from 1 species
CAUAGGUUAAUGAGGCGAACCGGGGGAACUGAAACAUCUAAGUACCCUGAGGAAAAGAAAUCAACCGAGAUUCCCCCAGUAGCGGCGAGCGAACGGGGAGCAGCCCAGAGCCUGAAUCAGUAUGUGUGUUAGUGGAAGCGUCUGGAAAGGCGCGCGAUACAGGGUGACAGCCCCGUACACAAAAAUGCACAUGCUGUGAGCUCGAUGAGUAGGGCGGGACACGUGGUAUCCUGUCUGAAUAUGGGGGGACCAUCCUCCAAGGCUAAAUACUCCUGACUGACCGAUAGUGAACCAGUACCGUGAGGGAAAGGCGAAAAGAACCCCGGCGAGGGGAGUGAAAAAGAACCUGAAACCGUGUACGUACAAGCAGUGGGAGCACGCUUAGGCGUGUGACUGCGUACCUUUUGUAUAAUGGGUCAGCGACUUAUAUUCUGUAGCAAGGUUAACCGAAUAGGGGAGCCGAAGGGAAACCGAGUCUUAACUGGGCGUUAAGUUGCAGGGUAUAGACCCGAAACCCGGUGAUCUAGCCAUGGGCAGGUUGAAGGUUGGGUAACACUAACUGGAGGACCGAACCGACUAAUGUUGAAAAAUUAGCGGAUGACUUGUGGCUGGGGGUGAAAGGCCAAUCAAACCGGGAGAUAGCUGGUUCUCCCCGAAAGCUAUUUAGGUAGCGCCUCGUGAAUUCAUCUCCGGGGGUAGAGCACUGUUUCGGCAAGGGGGUCAUCCCGACUUACCAACCCGAUGCAAACUGCGAAUACCGGAGAAUGUUAUCACGGGAGACACACGGCGGGUGCUAACGUCCGUCGUGAAGAGGGAAACAACCCAGACCGCCAGCUAAGGUCCCAAAGUCAUGGUUAAGUGGGAAACGAUGUGGGAAGGCCCAGACAGCCAGGAUGUUGGCUUAGAAGCAGCCAUCAUUUAAAGAAAGCGUAAUAGCUCACUGGUCGAGUCGGCCUGCGCGGAAGAUGUAACGGGGCUAAACCAUGCACCGAAGCUGCGGCAGCGACGCUGAUGCGUUGUUGGGUAGGGGAGCGUUCUGUAAGCCUGCGAAGGUGUGCUGUGAGGCAUGCUGGAGGUAUCAGAAGUGCGAAUGCUGACAUAAGUAACGAUAAAGCGGGUGAAAAGCCCGCUCGCCGGAAGACCAAGGGUUCCUGUCCAACGUUAAUCGGGGCAGGGUGAGUCGACCCC